GAUGAACGCUAGCGGCAGGCUUAACACAUGCAAGUCGAGGGGUAUUGGUUUUCGGACCAAGAGACCGGCGCACGGGUGCGUAACGCGUAUGCAAUCUACCUUUUGCAGAGGGAUAGCCCAGAGAAAUUUGGAUUAAUACCUCAUAGUAUAGUACCUUGGCAUCAAGGAGCUAUUAAAGUCACAACGGCAAAAGAUGAGCAUGCGUCCCAUUAGCUAGUUGGUAAGGUAACGGCUUACCAAGGCGACGAUGGGUAGGGGUCCUGAGAGGGAGAUCCCCCACACUGGUACUGAGACACGGACCAGACUCCUACGGGAGGCAGCAGUGAGGAAUAUUGGACAAUGGGCGCAAGCCUGAUCCAGCCAUGCCGCGUGCAGGAUGACGGUCCUAUGGAUUGUAAACUGCUUUUUAANACAGGAAGAAACACUGGUUCGUAGAACCAGCUUGACGGUACUGUAAGAAUAAGGAUCGGACUAACUCGUGCCAGCAGCCG
rnacentral:rRNA from 1 species